GAUGAACGCUAGCGACAGGCUUAACACAUGCAAGUCGAGGGGCAGCAUAAAAGUAGCAAUACUUUGGUGGCGACCGGCGCACGGGUGAGUAACGCGUAUGCAACCUACCUAUCAGAGGGGAAUAACCCGGCGAAAGUCGGACUAAUACCGCAUAAAACAGGGGCACCGCAUGGUGAUAUUUGUUAAAGAAAUUCGCUGAUAGAUGGGCAUGCGUUCCAUUAGGUAGUUGGUGAGGUAACGGCUCACCAAGCCGACGAUGGAUAGGGGAACUGAGAGGUUGGUCCCCCACACUGGUACUGAGACACGGACCAGACUCCUACGGGAGGCAGCAGUGAGGAAUAUUGGUCAAUGGGCGAGAGCCUGAACCAGCCAAGUCGCGUGAAGGAAGAAGGAUCUAUGGUUCGUAAACUUCUUUUGCAGGGGAAUAAAGUGCGGGACGUGUCCUGUUUUGUAUGUACCCUGAGAAUAAGGAUCGGCUAACUCCGUGCCAGCAGCCGCGGUAAA
rnacentral:rRNA from 1 species